rnacentral:rRNA from 1 species
AUUGAACGCUGGCGGCAGGCCUAACACAUGCAAGUCGAACGGUAGCACAGAGAGCUUGCUCUCGGGUGACGAGUGGCGGACGGGUGAGUAAUGUCUGGGAAACUGCCUGAUGGAGGGGGAUAACUACUGGAAACGGUAGCUAAUACCGCAUAACGUCGCAAGACCAAAGAGGGGGACCUUCGGGCCUCUUGCCAUCAGAUGUGCCCAGAUGGGAUUAGCUAGUAGGUGGGGUAACGGCUCACCUAGGCGACGAUCCCUAGCUGGUCUGAGAGGAUGACCAGCCACACUGGAACUGAGACACGGUCCAGACUCCUACGGGAGGCAGCAGUGGGGAAUAUUGCACAAUGGGCGCAAGCCUGAUGCAGCCAUGCCGCGUGUAUGAAGAAGGCCUUCGGGUUGUAAAGUACUUUCAGCGGGGAGGAAGGGAGUAAGGUUAAUAACCUUGUUCAUUGACGUUACCCGCAGAAGAAGCACCGGCUAACUCCGUGCCAGCCGCCGCCGUAAUAC